rnacentral:rRNA from 1 species
CAGUCGCCGCGGUAAUACGAAGGGUGCGAGCGUUACCCGGAUUUACUGGGCGUAAAGGGCGUGUAGGCGGCCUGGGGCGUCCCAUGUGAAAGGCCACGGCUCAACCGUGGAGGAGCGUGGGAUACGCUCAGGCUAGAGGGUGGGAGAGGGUGGUGGAAUUCCCGGAGUAGCGGUGAAAUGCGCAGAUACCGGGAGGAACGCCGAUGGCGAAGGCAGCCACCUGGUCCACUUCUGACGCUGAGGCGCGAAAGCGUGGGGAGCAAACCGGAUUAGAUACCCGUGUAGUCCCUGUCUCUUAUAC